GACGAACGCUGGCGGCGUGCUUAACACAUGCAAGUCGAACGAUGAACUUGGAGCUUGCUCUGGGGGAUUAGUGGCGAACGGGUGAGUAACACGUGAGUAACCUGCCCUGGACUCUGGGAUAACCCCGAGAAAUCGGAGCUAAUACCGGAUAGGACCUUUCCUCGCAUGAGGUGGGGUGGAAAGUUUUUUCGGUUUGGGAUGGACUCGCGGCCUAUCAGCUUGUUGGUGAGGUAAUGGCUCACCAAGGCGUCGACGGGUAGCCGGCCUGAGAGGGUGACCGGCCACACUGGGACUGAGACACGGCCCAGACUCCUACGGGAGGCAGCAGUGGGGAAUAUUGCACAAUGGGCGCAAGCCUGAUGCAGCAACGCCGCGUGCGGGAUGACGGCCUUCGGGUUGUAAACCGCUUUUAGUAGGGAAGAAGCCUUUCGGGGUGACGGUACCUGCAGAAAAAGGACCGGCUAACUACGUGCCAGCCGCCGCGGUAACAC
rnacentral:rRNA from 1 species